rnacentral:rRNA from 1 species
UUAAGCGACUAAGCGUACACGGUGGAUGCCCUGGCAGUCAGAGGCGAUGAAGGACGUGCUAAUCUGCGAAAAGCGCCGGCGAGGUGAUAUGAACCCUUGACCCGGCGAUGUCCGAAUGGGGAAACCCAGUGCAAUCCGUUGCACUAUCGUUAACUGAAUACAUAGGUUAACGAGGCGAACCGGGGGAACUGAAACAUCUAAGUACCCCGAGGAAAAGAAAUCAACCGAGAUUCCCCCAGUAGCGGCGAGCGAACGGGGAGCAGCCCGGAGUCUGAAUCAGCUUGUGUGUUAGUGGAACGGUCUGGAAAGUCCGACGGUACAGGGUGAUAGUCCCGUACACGAAAGCACACAUGCUGUGAACUCGAAGAGUAGGGCGGGACACGUGGUAUCCUGUCUGAAUAUGGGGGGACCAUCCUCCAAGGCUAAAUACUCCUGACUGACCGAUAGUGAACCAGUACCGUGAGGGAAAGGCGAAAAGAACCCCGGCGAGGGGAGUGAAAAAGAACCUGAAACCGUGUACGUACAAGCAGUGGGAGCCUACUUGUUAGGUGACUGCGUACCUUUUGUAUAAUGGGUCAGCGACUUAUAUUCUGUAGCAAGGUUAACCGUAUAGGGGAGCCGAAGGGAAACCGAGUCUUAACUGGGCGUUAAGUUGCAGGGUAUAGACCCGAAACCCGGUGAUCUAGCCAUGGGCAGGUUGAAGGUUGGGUAACACUAACUGGAGGACCGAACCGACUAAUGUUGAAAAAUUAGCGGAUGACCUGUGGCUGGGGGUGAAAGGCCAAUCAAACCGGGAGAUAGCUGGUUCUCCCCGAAAGCUAUUUAGGUAGCGCCUCGUGAACUCAUCUUCGGGGGUAGAGCACUGUUUCGGCUAGGGGGCCAUCCCGGCUUACCAACCCGAUGCAAACUACGAAUACCGAAGAAUGUUAUCACGGGAGACACACGGCGGGUGCUAACGUCCGUCGUGAAGAGGGAAACAACCCAGACCGCCAGCUAAGGUCCCAAAGUCAUGGUUAAGUGGGAAACGAUGUGGGAAGGCACAGACAGCCAGGAUGUUGGCUUAGAAGCAGCCAUCAUUUAAAGAAAGCGUAAUAGCUCACUGGUCGAGUCGGCCUGCGCGGAAGAUGUAACGGGGCUAAACCAUGCACCGAAGCUGCGGCAGCGACACUAUGUGUUGUUGGGUAGGGGAGCGUUCUGUAAGCCGUUGAAGGUGUGCUGUGAGGCAUGCUGGAGGUAUCAGAAGUGCGAAUGCUGACAUAAGUAACGAUAAAGCGGGUGAAAAGCCCGCUCGCCGGAAGACCAAGGGUUCCUGUCCAACGUUAAUCGGGGCAGGGUGAGUCGACCCCUAAGGCGAGGCCGAAAGGCGUAGUCGAUGGGAAACAGGUUAAUAUUCCUGUACUUGGUGUUACUGCGAAGGGGGGACGGAGAAGGCUAUGUCAGCCGGGCGACGGUUGUCCCGGUUUAAGCAUGUAGGCGGAGGUUCCAGGUAAAUCCGGUACCUUGUUAACGCUGAGGUGUGAUGACGAGGCACUACGGUGCUGAAGUGAUAAAUGCCCUGCUUCCAGGAAAAGCCUCUAAGCAUCAGGUAACACGAAAUCGUACCCCAAACCGACACAGGUGGUCAGGUAGAGAAUACCAAGGCGCUUGAGAGAACUCGGGUGAAGGAACUAGGCAAAAUGGUGCCGUAACUUCGGGAGAAGGCACGCUGAUAUGUAGGUGAAGCCCCUGCGGGCGGAGCUGAAAUCAGUCGAAGAUACCAGCUGGCUGCAACUGUUUAUUAAAAACACAGCACUGUGCAAACACGAAAGUGGACGUAUACGGUGUGACGCCUGCCCGGUGCCGGAAGGUUAAUUGAUGGGGUUAGCGGCAACGCGAAGCUCUUGAUCGAAGCCCCGGUAAACGGCGGCCGUAACUAUAACGGUCCUAAGGUAGCGAAAUUCCUUGUCGGGUAAGUUCCGACCUGCACGAAUGGCGUAAUGAUGGCCAGGCUGUCUCCACCCGAGACUCAGUGAAAUUGAACUCGCUGUGAAGAUGCAGUGUACCCGCGGCAAGACGGAAAGACCCCGUGAACCUUUACUAUAGCUUGACACUGAACACUGGUCCUUGAUGUGUAGGAUAGGUGGGAGGCUUUGAAGCGUGGACGCCAGUCUGCGUGGAGCCAACCUUGAAAUACCACCCUUUAAUGGCUGGUGUUCUAACGUAGACCCGUAAUCCGGGUUGCGGACAGUGUCUGGUGGGUAGUUUGACUGGGGCGGUCUCCUCCCAAAGAGUAACGGAGGAGCACGAAGGUUGGCUAAUCCUGGUCGGACAUCAGGAGGUUAGUGCAAUGGCAUAAGCCAGCUUGACUGCGAGCGUGACGGCGCGAGCAGGUGCGAAAGCAGGUCAUAGUGAUCCGGUGGUUCUGAAUGGAAGGGCCAUCGCUCAACGGAUAAAAGGUACUCCGGGGAUAACAGGCUGAUACCGCCCAAGAGUUCAUAUCGACGGCGGUGUUUGGCACCUCGAUGUCGGCUCAUCACAUCCUGGGGCUGAAGUAGGUCCCAAGGGUAUGGCUGUUCGCCAUUUAAAGUGGUACGCGAGCUGGGUUUAGAACGUCGUGAGACAGUUCGGUCCCUAUCUGCCGUGGGCGCUGGAGAAUUGAGGGGGGCUGCUCCUAGUACGAGAGGACCGGAGUGGACGCAUCACUGGUGUUCGGGUUGUCAUGCCAAUGGCACUGCCCGGUAGCUAAAUGCGGAAGAGAUAAGUGCUGAAAGCAUCUAAGCACGAAACUUGCCCCGAGAUGAGUUCUCCCUGAGACUUUAAGUCUCCUGAAGGAACGUUGAAGACGACGACGUUGAUAGGUCGGGUGUGUAAGCGCAGCGAUGCGUUGAGCUAACCGAUACUAAUGAACCGUGAGGCUUAACCUU